rnacentral:rRNA from 1 species
UACGUAGGGGGCAAGCGUUGUCCGGAUUUAUUGGGCGUAAAGAGCGUGUAGGCGGCUUUACAGGUCCGUUGUGAAAACUCGAGGCUCAACCUCGAGACGCCGGUGGAAACCGUAAAGCUAGAGUCCGGAAGAGGAGAGUGGAAUUCCUGGUGUAGCGGUGAAAUGCGCAGAUAUCAGGAGGAACACCCGUGGCGAAAGCGGCUCUCUGGGACGGUAUUGACGCUGAGGCGCGAAAGCUAGGGGAGCAAACGGG